rnacentral:rRNA from 1 species
CCUACGGGAGGCAGCAGUGAGGAAUAUUGGUCAAUGGGCGCUAGCCUGAACCAGCCAAGUAGCGUGAAGGAUGACUGCCCUAUGGGUUGUAAACUUCUUUUAUAUGGGAAUAAAGUGAAGUAUGUAUACUGCUUUGCAUGUACCUUAUGAAUAAGGAUCGGCUAACUCCGUGCCAGCAGCCGCGGUAAUACGGAGGAUCCGAGCGUUAUCCGGAUUUAUUGGGUUUAAAGGGAGCGUAGGCGGGUUGUUAAGUCAGUUGUGAAAGUUUGCGGCUCAACCGUAAAAUUGCAGUUGAUACUGGCAGCCUUGAGUACAGUUGAGGUAGGCGGAAUUCGUGGUGUAGCGGUGAAAUGCUUAGAUAUCACGAAGAACUCCGAUUGCGAAGGCAGCCUGCUGGACUGUAACUGACGCUGAUGCUCGAAAGUGUGGGUAUCAAACAGGAUUAGAUACCCGAGUAGUC